UCCUACGGGUGGGCAGCAGUGGGGAAUAUUGSACAAUGGCCGNAAGCCUGAUCCAGCCAUGCCGCGUGUNUGAAGAAGGUCUUCGGAUUGUAAAGCACUUUAAGUNGGGAGGAAGGGCAUUAACCUAAUACGUUAGUGUUUUGACGUUACCGACAGAAUAAGCACCGGCUAACUCUGUGCCAGCAGCCGCGGUAAUACAGAGGGUGCAAGCGUUAAUCGGAAUUACUGGGCGUAAAGCGCGCGUAGGUGGUUUGUUAAGUUGGAUGUGAAAUCCCCGGGCUCAACCUGGGAACUGCAUUCAAAACUGACUGACUAGAGUMUGUAGAGGGUGGUGGAAUUUCCUGUGUAGCGGUGAAAUGCGUAGAUAUAGGAASCAACACCAGUGCGAAGCGACC
rnacentral:rRNA from 1 species